UACAAUCAGUGAUGAAUUAUUGUCCUAUUUCCUGAGUUAUCAGUGAUUAUUCAACAAAUAUCACCAUCUUUCGACUGAGGUUGUA